rnacentral:SRP_RNA from 1 species
CCGUACUAGGUGGGGAGGUAGCGGUGCCCUAUAACUUGCAAUCCGCUAUAGCAAGGCUGAAUUCCCUUUUGAGGUGGGUGACUUUAAGGUCUGCCUUAAGGAAUCAGUGUUGACGUUUAGGUCCUGCGCAACAGAAACCUAUGAACCCUGUCAGAUCCGGAAGGAAGCAGCAGUAAGUAGACCCUUUUGUGUGCCGCGGGAUAGCCUAGAUAGAGCUGUGAACUUAAGUAACGCUUGGAGCCAUUUCAUCGAUUUUGGGUGUACG